rnacentral:rRNA from 1 species
GCUCGUAGUCGAACUUCGGGCUCNGUCACCGGUCCGCCUUCUUGGUGUGUACUUGGUUGAUGGAGCCUUACCUCCUGGGAAACGGCGAUGUCCUUUACUGGGUGGCGUCNCAAACGAGGACUUUUACUUUGAAAAAAUUAGAGUGUUCAAAGCAGGCCUUUGCCCGAAUCCAUUAGCAUGGAAUAAAAAAAUAGGACGCGCGUUCCCAUUUUGUUGGUUUCUGAGAUCGCCGANNUGAUGAAUAGGGAUACUGGGGGGCAUUUGUAUUCCGUCGNCNGAGGUGAAAUACUUGGAUUGCCGGAAGACAAACUACUGCGAAAGCAUUUGCCAAGGAUGUUUUCAUUGAUCAAGAACGAAGGAAGGGGGAUCGAAAACGAUUAGAUACCGUUGUAGUCUCUUCUGUAAACUAUGCCAAUUGGGGAUCGGUACAGGAUUUUUAAUGACUGUAUCGGCACCCGAAGAGAAAUCUUUAAAUGAGGUUCGGGGGGGAGUAUGGUCGCAAGGCUGAAACUUAAAGGAAUUGANNGAAGGGCACCACCAGGUGUGGAGCCUGCGGCUUAAUUUGACUCAACACGGGGAAACUCACCAGGUCCAGACACAAUAAGGAUUGACAGAUUGAUAGCUCUUUCUUGAUCUUGUGGUUGGUGGUGCAUGGCCGUUCUUAGUUGGUGGAGUGAUUUGUCUGGUUAAUUCCGAUAACGAACAAAAACCUUAA